GAUGAACGCUGGCGGCGUGCCUAAUACAUGCAAGUCGAGCGAACGGACGAGAAGCUUGCUUCUCUGAUGUUAGCGGCGGACGGGUGAGUAACACGUGGAUAACCUACCUAUAAGACUGGGAUAACUUCGGGAAACCGGCGCUAAUACCGGAUAAUAUUUUGAACCGCAUGGUUCAAAAGUGAAAGACGGUCUUGCUGUCACUUAUAGCUGGAUCCGCGCUGCAUUAGCUAGUUGGUAAGGUAACGGCUUACCAAGGCAACGAUGCAUAUACGACGUAAGAGGGUGGUCGGCGACACUGGAACUGAGACAGGGUCCAUACUCCUAAGGGAGGGAGCAGUAGGGUAUCUGACGCAAUGGGGGAGAGCCUGACGGAGCAACGCCGCGUGAGUGAUGAAGGUCUUCGGAUCGUAAAACUCUGUUAUUAGGGAAGAACAGAUGUGUAAGUAACUGUGCACAUCUUGACGGUACCUAAUCAGAAAGCCACGGCUAACUACGUG
rnacentral:rRNA from 1 species